rnacentral:rRNA from 1 species
AACGAACGCUGGCGGCAGGCUUAACACAUGCAAGUCGAACGGUUGUAGCAAUACAGCAGUGGCAGACGGGUGAGUAACACGUGGGAACCUUCCUAGGGGUACGGAACAACUCAGGGAAACUUGAGCUAAUACCGUAUACGUCCGUGAGGGAGAAAGAUUUAUCGCCCCUAGACGGGCCCGCGUAGGAUUAGGUAGUUUGG